rnacentral:rRNA from 1 species
UACGUAGGGUGCAAGCGUUAAUCGGAAUUACUGGGCGUAAAGCGUGCGCAGGCGGUUCGCUAAGACAGAUGUGAAAUCCCCGGGCUUAACCUGGGAACUGCAUUUGUGACCGGCGGGCUAGAGUAUGGCAGAGGGGGGUAGAAUUCCACGUGUAGCAGUGAAAUGCGUAGAGAUGUGGAGGAAUACCGAUGGCGAAGGCAGCCCCCUGGGCCAAUACUGACGCUCAUGCACGAAAGCGUGGGGAGCAAACAGG